GGAUGUAGCUCAGUGGUAAAACUCUUGCUUACUACGCACAGGCCCUGGGUUCAAUCCCCAGUACCG
rnacentral:tRNA from 1 species